rnacentral:misc_RNA from 1 species
UGGUUCUGGCAUCGAUGAAGAACGCAGCGAAAUGCGAUAAGUAAUGUGAAUUGCAGAAUUCAGUGAAUCAUCGAAUCUUUGAACGCACAUUGCGCCCUCUGGUAUUCCGGGGGGCAUGCCUGUUCGAGCGUCAUUACAACCCUCAAGCAUUGCUUGGUAUUAGGUGCCGUCUUCGACCUCUUAUGGUUUAGGGACGCGCCUGAAAAUCAGCGGCGAAACGGCCGGUGAUCGAGCGUAGUAAAACAUUGCUUCCCGCUCAAGAUCCACCCGGACGGUUUUAGCCGGACAAACCCCAAUUAUUUUUUCUAUGGUUGACCUCGGAUCAGGUAGGGAUACCCGCUGA